rnacentral:rRNA from 1 species
UACAGAGGGGGCAAGCGUUGUUCGGAAUUACUGGGCGUAAAGGGCGCGUAGGCGGCCUUCUAAGUCGAACGUGAAAUCCCCGGGCUCAACCCGGGAACUGCGUCCGAUACUGGAAGGCUUGAAUCCGGGAGAGGGAUGCGGAAUUCCAGGUGUAGCGGUGAAAUGCGUAGAUAUCUGGAGGAACACCGGUGGCGAAGGCGGCAUCCUGGACCAAUUCUGACGCUGAGGAGCGAAGGCCAGGGGAGCAAAGCGGG